rnacentral:RNase_P_RNA from 1 species
GAGGAUAAAAAUUCUGUCGCUCUUUGCUCUUUUUGAGCAAGGGGAGGAAAGUCCGGACUACAAAUAGUGGCACAAAGGCUAACGGCCUUCCACCGAAAGGUGAGGACCAGUGGAACAGAAAGAAUGUCUGGCGCGUUUGUAUUUAUCAGGGGAAGUUCCUUUUAAAAAGUGACCAGAGUGAAAACAGCUAAACUCUGUGCGUAGCAAGGUUAAAUAGGAAGAUGCCUGAGCGUAACUAGCGCAAAAUCUUCGGGUAGACCGCAUGAAAAAAUCAGCAAUGGUUUUUCUAGAUGAAUGGCAGAACACUUUUAAGCGUAUGGACUUAAAAGGCAACAAAAUCCGGCUUAUUAUUUAUCCUUUUCC